rnacentral:rRNA from 1 species
AAAUUGAAGGGUUUGAUCCUGGCUCAGAAUGAACGUUGGCGGCGUGGAUUAGGCAUGCAAGUCGUGCGAGAAGUCAAUUAGCUUGCUAAGAGACGGACAGCGGCGAAAGGGAGAGUAACGCGUGGUUACGUACCCAGAGGACCAGGAUAGCGUUGGGAAACCGGCAGUAAUACUGGAUAAUAUCUUUGGAUCAAAUGGUGUGAUUCCGCCUGUGGAUCGGACCGCGUACUAUUAGCUUGUUGGUGGGGUAAUGGCCUACCAAGGCUGCGAUGGUUACCGGGUGUGAGAGCAUGGCCCGGCUCACUGGGACUGAGACACUGCCCAGACACCUACGGGUGGCUGCAGUCGAGAAUCUUCGGCAAUGGACGAAAGUCUGACCGAGCGACGCCGCGUGCGGGAUGAAGGCCUUCGGGUUGUAAACCGCUGUCAGUUGGGAGGAAAGGCCUGUGAAGAGCAGGCCCUGACCGAUCUUCAGAGGAAGGACGGGCUAAGUUCGUGCCAGCAGCCGCGGUAAGACGAACCGUCCAAACGUUAUUCGGUAUCACUGGGCUUAAAGCGUGCGUAGGCGGCCUGGCAGGUGAGAUGUGAAAGCCCACGGCUCAACCGUGGAAUUGCGUUUCAAACCGUCAGGCUUGAGGAAGACAGGGGUGUCGGGAACUUAUGGUGGAGCGGUGAAAUGCGUUGAUAUCAUAGGGAACACCGGUGGCGAAGGCGCGACACUGGGUCUUUACUGACGCUGAGGCACGAAAGCUAGGGUAGCGAACGGGAUUAGAUACCCCGGUAGUCCUAGCCGUAAACGAUGAACACUGGGUUGAGGGGACUUCCACAUCCUCUCGGCCGUAGCGAAAGCGUUAAGUGUUCCGCCUGGGGAGUAUGGUCGCAAGGCUGAAACUCAAAGGAAUUGACGGGGGCUCACACAAGCGGUGGAGGAUGUGGCUUAAUUCGAGGAUACGCGAAGAACCUUAUCCUGGUCUUGACAUGUACGGAUGGGCUGCCUGAAAGGGAUAGUCCCUGCCUUCGGGUGAAACGUACACAGGUGCUGCAUGGCCGUCGUCAGCUCGUGUCGUGAGAUGUCGGGUUAAGUCCCUUAACGAGCGAAACCCUUGUUCCUAGUUGCCAGCACAUAAUGGUGGGGACUCUAGGGAGACUGCCGGUGUUAAACCGGAGGAAGGUGGGGAUGACGUCAGGUCCUCAUGGCCUUUAUGACCAGGGCUGCACACGUCCUACAAUGCGGUGUACAGAGGGAAGCGAACUCGCGAGAGCAAGCAAAUCCCAAAAAGCACCGCCCAGUUCGGAUUGCAGGCUGCAACUCGCCUGCAUGAAGCCGGAAUCGCUAGUAAUCGUGGGUCAGCAUACCACGGUGAAUAUGUUCCUGAGCCUUGUACACACCGCCCGUCAAGCCACGAAAGUGGGGGGCAUCCGAAGUCGC